AAAACACCUAUCACCAUGUACAUACCUGUUUUGCCUGCAAUUUCAGCACGAUUUAAAUUAGUUGAAUUCAACUUCAAUCCAAAAACAUAAAGAGAUUCAUAAUAUAUUAUUAUAUAAUAUAGAAGAUAUUCUGUUAUAAAAAUUUUAACAUAACUAUACUUACCAAAUUGGAUCCUCUUUGUAAAAUUAUUACGCUUUAUACCCAAUGGGCUUCGUUUGUUGGUUUACUGUUGUGAAAAGAGAUUCAAUGACGGAAAUUUUUGACAGAUUAAUUGUUUAUUCAUUCCAAGGUUGUAUAGCCUUGCAAGCGCAAGAUUUGGAAUGUGCUAAGGAUUUUUCACAUCAAUAGGCGCAUGUUCACAAUCGCGCAAAGUUUGGGUGAACGUGCUACACAGUUAAGUGUGGCUGUGUAAUGCUUAAAUUAAAUAGCACACCACCUUCCGGAAGGUAACGGUCAUUACGACUAUUUAUACGAAGAGGACUAUCAUCUCUGAGGAUCAUGAUAGUAGACAUUUCAAUUUAAAUAUUCAAAGUGUUCGACAUUGAGGCUGUGCGUAAAUCGGUUGACAAGGAAAUGAAUGCUGUGCUGAAGUUCUACGGCUUGUAGGUAAACUGUAAGGUAAUGAAAUUUUGCUGAGGACAAGUAUGUUAAUUAUAUAGUAUAAUUAUUCUAGAUGUUAUGUAUAAUAUCGGCAUUAUAGUAGCAUAUAGCUAUGCGUUAUUCAAUCAUAACUGGCCAAUAUUGUAUGUUGAAUAUGUUUGUAUAUAUACUUUAAUUAUUGGAAUUGGAAGAUUUCUUUAUAUUAACCUAACAUCUUUUGUGUGGUUAGAAAAUGUCAUCAGCUGAGAAUUUAACACUUUGUUUGGUUCCCAAAACAAUGUUAAGGUUACCAAACAAUAUGUUGCGGGAAAUAAACGAAAGUUUCUAUGUUAAAAUUUCAGUACAAUUUUUGAUUUGUCUUAACGUAUAGCCAAGCUAACCUUAGAUAACAUAUCUAAGUAUGUUAAGUAGCAUGUUAAAUAUUAUAGCCCUUAACUUUUUAUAUGAAUUGUUUAUAAACUUCCAUGCAUUUAUUUUUAAAAUAUAAUGUGGAUACUUUCCUUUAACAAAUACAAACGAAAAUAAUUUUUAA